CCUUGUUUUCUCAUUCUGCAGCAGGCUGCUGUCAAGACCAGGUCAGACCUCCCUGCGGCUGGCUCCCCGGUUUCUCCUUUAGUUUGGUUGUCUUUGGUUUUGGAUUCUUACUUUGUGGUGUCUUAGGUUUGGGUGACGAGGGGAGAAACUGAUAAGAGGGGGCUGGGUGCUUGGCUCUCUCUCUGGCCCACCUUCCAGCCAUGGCAGCAGCACAACUCUGAGACUGCGACCAAUUUGUAUUUCCUUGAUUAUCGUUCUUUUCUUAUAUUUCUGAUGGGACUGGUAGUUUAGUUUUCGCGGCUUUAUUUCUGUUUGUUUAGUUAGGGAUUGGUUUAGGGUAGAGGGGAAGCCUCCAGAUCCUACGGCCCUUUUGUGGGCUGGUCUGGAGGGCUUCCCUUUCUUUUGUUUGUUUUGGCCAGCCCAUCAGACUUGUUGUUUUUGUUUAAGUUAAAUUUUGAACUUAUUUCAUGUUUAUUUCAAUAAACUUAUGUUUGCAUUA